rnacentral:rRNA from 1 species
ACGGGUGAGUAACGCGUGGGAAUCUACCCAUCCCUACGGAAUAACGCAUGGAAACGUGUGCUAAUACCGUAUACGCCCUACGGGGGAAAGAUUUAUCGGGGAUGGAUGAGCCCGCGUUGGAUUAGCUAGUUGGUGGGGUAAAGGCCUACCAAGGCGACGAUCCAUAGCUGGUCUGAGAGGAUGAUCAGCCACAUUGGGACUGAGACACGGCCCAAACUCCUACGGGAGGCAGCAGUGGGGAAUAUUGGACAAUGGGCGCAAGCCUGAUCCAGCCAUGCCGCGUGAGUGAUGAAGGCCUUAGGGUUGUAAAGCUCUUUCACCGGAGAAGAUAAUGACGGUAUCCGGAGAAGAAGCCCCGGCUAACUUCGUGCCAGCAGCCGCGGUAAUACGAAGGGGGCUAGCGUUGUUCGGAAUUACUGGGCGUAAAGCGCACGUAGGCGGACUUUUAAGUCAGGGGUGAAAUCCCGGGGCUCAACCUCGGAACUGCCUUUGAUACUGGAAGUCUGGAGUAUGGAAGAGGUGAGUGGAAUUCCGAGU